AGGACGAACGCUGGCGGCGUGCUUCAUACAUGCAAGUCGAGCGCGGAGCUUGCUCCGAGCGGCGAACGGGUGAGUAACACGUGGGCAACCUGCCCUUGGCUCUGGGAUAACUCCGGGAAACCAGGGCUAAUACCGGAUAUGACCACCGGAGACAUCUUCUGGUGGUGGAAAGAAUUUCGGCCAAGGAUGGGCCCGCGGCCUAUCAGCUUGUUGGUGGGUAACGGCCUACCAAGGCGACGACGGGUAGCCGGCCUGAGAGGGCGACCGGCCACACUGGGACUGAGACACGGCCCAGACUCCUACGGGAGGCAGCAGUAGGGAAUAUUGCGCAAUGGGCGAAAGCCUGACGCAGCGACGCCGCGUGAGGGACGAAGGCCUUCGGGUUGUAAACCUCUUUCAGUGGGAACGAAAUUGACGGUACCGCAGAAGAAGCCCCGGCAACUACGUGCCAGCAGCCGC
rnacentral:rRNA from 1 species